rnacentral:rRNA from 1 species
CACCGAAGCUGCGGCAGCGACACUAUGUGUUGUUGGGUAGGGGAGCGUUCUGUAAGCCUGUGAAGGUGGCCUGUGAGGGUUGCUGGAGGUAUCAGAAGUGCGAAUGCUGACAUAAGUAACGAUAAAGCGGGUGAAAAGCCCGCUCGCCGGAAGACCAAGGGUUCCUGUCCAACGUUAAUCGGGGCAGGGUGAGUCGACCCCUAAGGCGAGGCCGAAAGGCGUAGUCGAUGGGAAACGGGUUAAUAUUCCCGUACUUGGUGUUACUGCGAAGGGGGGACGGAGAAGGCUAUGUUGGCCGGGCGACGGUUGUCCCGGUUUAAGCGUGUAGGUGUGUGUUCCAGGUAAAUCCGGUUCACUUUAACACUGAGGCGUGAUGACGAGGCACUACGGUGCUGAAGCAACAAAUGCCCUGCUUCCAGGAAAAGCCUCUAAGCAUCAGGUAACAUCAAAUCGUACCCCAAACCGACACAGGUGGUCAGGUAGAGAAUACCAAGGCGCUUGAGAGAACUCGGGUGAAGGAACUAGGCAAAAUGGUGCCGUAACUUCGGGAGAAGGCACGCUGACAUGUAGGUGAAGUGAUUUACUCAUGGAGCUGAAGUCAGUCGAAGAUACCAGCUGGCUGCAACUGUUUAUUAAAAACACAGCACUGUGCAAACACGAAAGUGGACGUAUACGGUGUGACGCCUGCCCGGUGCCGGAAGGUUAAUUGAUGGGGUCAGCGCAAGCGAAGCUCCUGAUCGAAGCCCCGGUAAACGGCGGCCGUAACUAUAACGGUCCUAAGGUAGCGAAAUUCCUUGUCGGGUAAGUUCCGACCUGCACGAAUGGCGUAAUGAUGGCCAGGCUGUCUCCACCCGAGACUCAGUGAAAUUGAACUCGCUGUGAAGAUGCAGUGUACCCGCGGCAAGACGGAAAGACCCCGUGAACCUUUACUAUAGCUUGACACUGAACAUUGAGCCUUGAUGUGUAGGAUAGGUGGGAGGCUUUGAAGUGUGG